rnacentral:piRNA from 1 species
UGAAGAUUUAUUGUAAAUCCAUGAGUGUUU